CAAGGAAGCAGCAGCAGGGCAGACUUGGAGUCCAAGGACAAGCUGUUGUGUAUCACAGAGAUCCUGUUGAAGAAAUCAGCCUUGUGCCAAACACUGAAGAAACAGUCAGAUUCCAGCUCAAUUCGAUUUAUGUAACACAAUUCUGUUCUGUUUGCUCCUCUUGGCAAAGUCUCUCUUGAAUGACUGGGAUUCUCAGCAGCUCCAGCAUGAGGCCCAUUGACACCGGAAGAGUGGCAGGGAAGAGCUCUUGGUUGUCAGCUUGCAACAAUGCCUUCAGGUGCCCACUGCAUGCAAACACAUCCCCCAGGAGAGGGCUCCUCUAUGUUGGAAUAUGUACACAAGGCCUUCUAAAGUCUCCUGAAGCCAAUCAGCUAUGUAGAGUGUGCCCGAUAGACAAUGAUGGAGCUGGAAACUGAAGGACUUUGGAAGCAGGGAAAAAUCACGAGAUACCUGCAGUGAUCUUGGAAGGAGAAUUGGACACUAAAGUGAUCAAUAUGCAAGCCUGAGAGCCUGAGACCAAUAUAAAGAUUGAGAAAAACACCAGGUUAUCUGGUAAAUGCCUGAAAGAUAUGGUCAGGAACAAACUUCCCUUCUGUAACAAGCAUCAGCCCGAUGGACUUUUCAGUGCUCACUGUGGAAGUGUUAAUACUGUCUCAACAUGGUUUUAUUCGAAGAAUGUCAGACUCAUUCCCGACAAAGCCUUUGGGAAAACCCUCUUCAAGGCUCUAGGGUGAUAGCUGAAAAUCGACUUGUUUCAGAGAGUUCUCUUAGAAAUAGCAUCGAACAGUAAAUAAUGCCUGCACUGGACUGUACAUUUUUGCCCACAAUGUGUGGAAUUAUAUCCUUUUAGAAAUAACUAUUCUGCUAUGCUUAUUUGAGAUUUCAGAAGUUGUUGUCAUGUAACAAUGUG
rnacentral:lncRNA from 1 species